AAGCGGUGGAGUAUGUGGUUUAAUUCGAUGCAACGCGAAGAACCUUACCUGGUCUUGACAUCCCGGAGACCCUUAGGAAACUAGGGGUGCUUCCAUCUGGAAGAAUCUGGAGACAGGUGCUGCAUGGCUGUCGUCAGCUCGUGUCGUGAGAUGUUGGGUUAAGUCCCGCAACGAGCGCAACCCUUGCCUUUAGUUGCCAGCAGUUCGGCUGGGCACUCUAAAGGGACUGCCGGUGUUAAACCGGAGGAAGGUGGGGAUGAACGUCAAGUCCUCAUGGCCUUUAUGACCAGGGCUACACACGUACUACAAUGGCCGAUACAAAGGGCAGCGACACUGCGAGGUGAAGCCAAUCCGUAAAAUCGGUCUCAGUCCGGAUUGGAGUCUGCAACUCGACUCCAUGAAGUUGGAAUCGCUAGUAAUCGUGGAUCAGCAUGCCACGGUGAAUACGUUCCCGGGCCUU
rnacentral:rRNA from 1 species